UAGGGAAUAUUGGUUAAUGUGCGAAAGCGCGAACCAGCAACGCCGCGUGUGCGAUGAAGGCCUUCGGGUCGUAAAGCACUUUUUGCAGGGAAGAGGAAGGACGGUACCUGCAGAAUAAGUCUCGGCUAACUACGUGCCAGCAGCCGCGGUAAAACGUAGGAGACGAGCGUUAUCCGGAUUUACUGGGCGUAAAGCGCGUGCAGGCGGCAUGGCAAGUUGGAUGUGAAAGCUCCCGGCUUAACUGGGAGAGGUCGUUCAAAACUGCCAAGCUUGAGAGUGGUAGAGGGAAGCGGAAUUCCGGGUGUAGUGGUGAAAUGCGUAGAUAUCCGGAGGAACACCAGUGGCGAAAGCGGCUUCCUGGCCCAUUUCUGACGCUCAGACGCGAAAGCUAGGGUAGCAAACGG
rnacentral:rRNA from 1 species